UUAUACUGCGAAACUGCGAAUGGCUCAUUAAAUCAGUUAUCGUCUAUUUGAUAGUACCUUACUACUUGGAUAACCGUGGUAAUUCUAGAGCUAAUACAUGUCAAACCCCGACUUCGGAAGGGAUGUAUUUAUUAGAUUAAAAACCAAUGCCCUCCGGCUCACUGGUGAUUCAUGAUAACUUCUCGAAUCGCACGGCCUUGCGCCGGCGAUGGUUCAUUCAAAUUUCUGCCCUAUCAACUUUCGACGGCUGGGUAUUGGCCAGCCGUGGUGACAACGGGUAACGGAGGGUUAGGGCUCGACCCCGGAGAAGGAGCCUGAGAAACGGCUACUACAUCCAAGGAAGGCAGCAGGCGCGCAAAUUACCCAAUCCGACACGGGGAGGUAGUGACAAUAAAUACUGAUACAGGGCUCUUUUGGGUCUUGUAAUUGGAAUGAGUACAAUUUAAUUCCCUUAACGAGGAACAAUUGGAGGGCAAGUCUGGUGCCAGCAGCCGCGGUAAUUCCAGCUCCAAUAGCGUAUAUUAAAGUUGUUGCAGUUAAAAAGCUCGUAGUUGAACCUUGGGCCUGGCUGGCCGGUCCGCCUCACCGCGUGCACUGGUCCGGCCGGGCCUUUCCCUCUGGAGCCGCAUGCCUUUACUGGGCGUGCCGGGGAACCAGGACGUUUACUUUGAAAAAAUUAGAGUGUUCAAAGCAGGCUUAUGCUCGAAUACAUUAGCAUGGAAUAAUGGAAUAGGACGCGUGGUUCUAUUUUUUUGGUUUCUAGGACCGCCGUAAUGAUUAAUAGGGACAGUCGGGGGCAUCAGUAUUCAGCUGUCAGAGGUGAAA
rnacentral:rRNA from 1 species